rnacentral:lncRNA from 1 species
UUGUCCUCAUUUUCACCCAUAAUUCUUUUCUCCUUCUUCUCUCUCUCUUCACUCUCUCUACGCCGCCCCAGCUCCGCCCACCGCUGCUGGCCAGAAAUCGCCGCCGCCGGCGGACCACCUCCAAACAACUCCAAAUUCAUACCAUGUAAUCUCCACAACAUCCUCCAUCCAUAUCUCCAAACCAAAUCCUUCAAAAAUCCCUCAAACUCCUUGAAUCUUAGAUCUAAGAAACUUUCCCGUCACUUUUUUGCCCAAAUUCUUGAAGCUCCAACCACUAUCACCCCACAAUACUUACAUCAAUGGAUAGAGCUCCUCAAGACCUAGCUAUUGAUGCCAAUUUCACCAUGAAAAUUCGGCGAUCAAAAUCCGGCCAAAUUCCGGCGACUUCCCCGAACACCCUCUUUUGGCAUACCACCAUUUUUUCGGCCACUUGAAUUAUAAAAUGGUAAAAAUCCUAUUAUUUUUCGUGGCUGAUUUUUUAUUUUAUUUUUAUUUUUCAGAUCUUAUUUUUGUCUAUUAUUAAUUAUUGUAGCAUUAGUUUUUGAAGUUUGAAAUGUCAAAUUUUCUAUUUUUGCACUUGUUGAAGUAGUAAAAUAGUUUUGUGUUGAUAAAAGUGAGGUAGUGAAAAAUACUUAAGAGUAUAUGGUACUUGUUUGAUUGUUUAUUUACAACUUCAAGACUCUUUGAGUACAACACUCAAAAGUCAAAUUGUUUGGUAAGAAAAUGUAGACCUUUGGACAGUGUUUGAAUAAAAGUCUGUCUUGAAUAGUGGAGAGCAGAUUUUGUAGAAAAAUCUGUCAAGAAGAUUGAUUUUUAAUUUUUUUAAAAUAGCUGAUUGUUUUGAUAUAAAAGAAGAACACUCCAUCUUACUGAGGGAGCUAGACACACAAAAAGAGAAAAAAAAUCAGUAGCUAUAAUAUCCCUUAGCAGCUUUUGUGAGUUGAUUCUUAAGUGAAAAACUUGUUUAAGGAAAAUAGAGUAGUCUUGAAAGAUUUUUCUGGAAUUACAUAAUUGUACUGUUUUGCUGGAUAUUUCUAGUUUAUUUUCUUGGGUUUGAAUCUGCCGGUUGUCGUUGUCUUUUGCUGUUGUUGCUGCCCGUUUAAUUGUUCUACUGUUGAUUUUGGAAAAAGCUGACUCUACUGUAUUUGUUCUUCUUUCUGCUGUCCAGGUAAUUUUCGGACCAUGUAAACUCAUAAAAUCGAGUUGGAAUGAAAGAUAAUGACGCUGGGAAAUAUUAGUAGCUUUAUCCUUCUAUUGUAAUUCAUUUUUAUAUGUUCUUGAAUGUUUGAUAANNN